UAAAGGGCUCGCAGGCGGUUUCUUAAGUCUGAUGUGAAAGCCCCCGGCUCAACCGGGGAGGGUCAUUGGAAACUGGGGAACUUGAGUGCAGAAGAGGAGAGUGGAAUUCCACGUGUAGCGGUGAAAUGCGUAGAGAUGUGGAGGAACACCAGUGGCGAAGGCGACUCUCUGGUCUGUAACUGACGCUGAGGAGCGAAAGCGUCGGGAACUAACAGGAUUAGAUACCCUGGUAGUCCACGCCGUAACCUGCUUUUUUUCUAAGUGUUAGGGGGUUUCCGCCCCUUAGUGCUGCAGCUAAC
rnacentral:rRNA from 1 species